UGUGCUGCUUCCGAUCUGAGAAGAACUUAUAACUGUCCUCGCUUAACCCUCGCGUUACCCAUUCGAUACUGCGUGUGCCUCGCUUGUACUACGCUGGAGCUCUUUUGUACCUCUCGUCGUCACGGUAACUAACUUACCUUGCG
rnacentral:lncRNA from 1 species